UAAAAAAAGGUAAGCUACUAAGAGCGAAUGGUGGAUGCCUUGACUGGUAAAGGCGAUGAAGGACGUACUAGACUGCGAUAAGCUACGGGGAGCUGUCAAGAAGCUUUGAUCCGUAGAUUUCCGAAUGGGGCAACCCAAUGUAUAGAGAUAUACAUUACCUAUAUAGGAGCGAACGAGGGGAAUUGAAACAUCUUAGUACCCUCAGGAAAAGAAAUCAAUAGAGAUUGCGUCAGUAGCGGCGAGCGAAAGCGCAAGAGGGCAAACCCAGUGCUUGCACUGGGGGUUGUAGGACUGCAAUGUGCAAGAGCUGAGUUUAGCAGAACAUUCUGGAAAGUAUAGCCAUAGAGGGUGAUAGUCCCGUAUGCGAAAAACAAAGCUUAGCUAGCAGUAUCCUGAGUAGGGCGGGACACGAGGAAUCCUGUCUGAAUCCGGGUCGACCACGAUCCAACCCUAAAUACUAAUACCAGAUCGAUAGUGCACAAGUACCGUGAGGGAAAGGUGAAAAGAACUGAGGUGAUCAGAGUGAAAUAGAACCUGAAACCAUUUGCUUACAAUCAUUCAGAGCACUAUGUAGCAAUACAGUGUGAUGGACUGCCUUUUGCAUAAUGAGCCUGCGAGUUGUGGUGUCUGGCAAGGUUAAGCAAACGCGAAGCCGUAGCGAAAGCGAGUCUGAAUAGGGCGCUUAGUCAGAUGCUGCAGACCCGAAACGAAGUGAUCUAUCCAUGAGCAAGUUGAAGCUAGUGUAAGAACUAGUGGAGGACUGAACCCAUAGGCGUUGAAAAGCCCCGGGAUGACUUGUGGAUAGGGGUGAAAGGCCAAUCAAACUUCGUGAUAGCUGGUUCUCUCCGAAAUAUAUUUAGGUAUAGCGUUGUGUCGUAAUAUAAGGGGGUAGAGCACUGAAUGGGCUAGGGCAUACACCAAUGUACCAAACCCUAUCAAACUCCGAAUACCUUAUAUGUAAUCACAGCAGUCAGGCGGCGAGUGAUAAAAUCCGUCGUCAAGAGGGAAACAACCCAGACUACCAGCUAAGGUCCCUAAAUCUUACUUAAGUGGAAAACGAUGUGAAGUUACUUAAACAACCAGGAGGUUGGCUUAGAAGCAGCCAUCCUUUAAAGAAAGCGUAAUAGCUCACUGGUCUAGUGAUUUUGCGCGGAAAAUAUAACGGGGCUAAAGUAAGUACCGAAGCUGUAGACUUGCACACAACUUAGAUUAUUUAAGUUUAGAAUAUGAGAAACUAAGUUAUAUGUUUAGUUAUAUUUUUACUGAUUUUUAUAGAGUAAAGAUAGAAAUAAAACUUAAUAAAAUCAGUAAAAAUAUUCUUAGGCUAAAGUUAAGUAGUUUAAGUUGUGUGCAAGUGGUAGGAGAGCGUUCUAUUUGCGUCGAAGGUAUACCGGUAAGGAGUGCUGGAGCGAAUAGAAGUGAGCAUGCAGGCAUGAGUAGCGAUAAUUAAUGUGAGAAUCAUUAACGCCGUAAACCCAAGGUUUCCUACGCGAUGCUCGUCAUCGUAGGGUUAGUCGGGUCCUAAGUCGAGUCCGAAAGGGGUAGACGAUGGCAAAUUGGUUAAUAUUCCAAUACCAACAUUAGUGUGCGAUGGAAGGACGCUUAGGGCUAAGGGGGCUAGCGGAUGGAAGUGCUAGUCUAAGGUUGUAGGAGGUUAUACAGGCAAAUCCGUAUAACAAUACUCCGAGAACUGAAAGGCUUUUUGAAGUCUUCGGAUGGAUAGAAGAACCCCUGAUGCCGUCGAGCCAAGAAAAGUUUCUAAGUUUAGCUAAUGUUGCCCGUACCGUAAACCGACACAGGUGGGUGGGAUGAGUAUUCUAAGGCGCGUGGAAGAACUCUCUUUAAGGAACUCUGCAAAAUAGCACCGUAUCUUCGGUAUAAGGUGUGGUUAGCUUCGUACUAGGAUUUACUCCGAAAGCGAAGAAACUUACAACAAAGAGUCCCUCCCGACUGUUUACCAAAAACACAGCACUCUGCUAACUCGUAAGAGGAUGUAUAGGGUGUGACGCCUGCCCGGUGCUCGAAGGUUAAUUGAUGGGGUU
rnacentral:rRNA from 1 species